rnacentral:rRNA from 1 species
UACGGGGGGAGCAAGCGUUGUUCGGAUUUACUGGGCGUAAAGGGCGCGUAGGCGGUAGCACAAGUCAGUUGUGAAAUCUCCGGGCUUAACUCGGAAAGGUCAACUGAUACUGUGCGACUAGAGUGGAGAAGGGGCAACUGGAAUUCUCGGUGUAGCGGUGAAAUGCGUAGAUAUCGAGAGGAACACCUGCGGCGAAGGCGGGUUGCUGGGCUGACACUGACGCUGAGGCGCGAAAGCCAGGGGAGCGAACGGG